UGGGGAAUAUUGCACAAUGGGGGAAACCCUGAUGCAGCGACGCCGCGUGAACGAAGAAGGUAUUCGUAUCGUAAAGUUCUGUCCUAUGGGAAGAUAAUGACAGUACCAUAGAAAAAAGCUCCGGCUAAAUACGUGCCAGCAGCCGCGGUAAUACGUAUGGAGGGAGCGUUGUCCGGAAUUAUUGGGCGUAAAGGGAACGCAGGCGGUUUAAUAAGUCGAAUGUUAAAGAUCGGGGCUCAACCCAGUAAAGCAUUGGAAACUGAUAAACAUGAGUAGUGGAGAGGAAAGUGGAAUUCCUAGUGUAGUGGUGAGAUACGUAGAUAUUAGAAGGAAUACCAGUAGCGAAGGCGACGUUCUGGACACAAACUGACGCUGAGGUACGAAAGCGUGGGGAGCAAACAGG
rnacentral:rRNA from 1 species